GCCAGCGUGGCGUAGUGGUUUGAGUCCUGGACUAUGACUCUGGAGACCAGAGUUUGAUUCCCAGCUUGGCC
rnacentral:tRNA from 1 species